rnacentral:lncRNA from 1 species
UUAACACCACUGCAUCCUCCCAAACCGGCUGUUGCAGCCCCGUCGCCAGCGACACUACACCUGCUCCACACCCAUCUCCAAGCAAUUCAAGAUAAAUCAAAAUGAUGUUUUGUAUUUUGUUCAUCCUCAUUCCACCAUUAAAUUUCAUCAACCCGACUCAGCUCAGAGUAUUGCACACAUUCACUUUGGGUUGGGUCUGACCCAAGUUUGGGUUCUGGUAGGCCCAUUAACAAACCUAGUUAAAUAAUAACAGCCCACUAAAAUUAACAUUUUGUUGCUGUAAGAUUCAGAAUAUCUCCUCCUCCCACCGCAGCUACCCCAAUCGCCACAACCAACUCUCACAACUGGAAAUCCCAACGCUCGCUCUCUCACUCCAAGCUUUUCUGAGCUCUACGAUUGGCAGCUCGGCUUUAG